GAUUAAAGGCUGCCUAGGCUCCAAUGGCAACUGGACCUCCUUGCGGCUGCUGCUCGUUCAUCAGCGAGCACCUGUGUGAAGCUGCUGUCCCAGCAGCUGUGCUUGGAGACUUAAAACAGACUGACGGCACCUGUUUCCCCGUUUCUAUCACGUGGCUGACGGUCCAGGGCGGGAACGACUCCUGAUGAACAACUGGGAUCCUCGCUGUGAUGGAGGCUUAUCAAACACUCAUUCUUCGGUCAUCAGCUGUCCAUCCAUUACCAGUGCCGGGUAGACCCUGUGCCGCUGAGUCAGUAAGAAAACGCUGUGGUGCCUGCCGUUGUCAGUCUGUCCAUCCUGCCUGGGAGUCAUUUGGCCCUAGCAGCUUCUUCCUUCUCUCGCUUUUCCUCGGUAGAGAUGAAUUCAACUGGUGGAGUAGCUGGCUAGCAGUUUAAAAUAGGACAAUGAAUAAAACAAGCAUUUUCCCCAUGGGAACUCAGCCAGGGCUCCAGGAUUGGACUCUUAUCUCCCAGUACCAGAUCCUGCCCCAGGGCUCCAUUUGGGUCUGGACUCUGGUUUCUGGUUGUUCUAGCUGCCUGAAUUCUAGGAUAUACUGUGCUGCCUGACUGAAGCUUUCACUCAAGACUUAACCAACAUGAGUUUGCUCCUCGUUCCAUGUCAGCAAGACCGAAAGAACAGUACUUCUUGGGAGAAGUGGGAAGAGAAGAGGUUGGUAAGUGGCAGAAUCUCCUUAUUUCUGCUCCCCCCAGGCCUGUGGCCAUCGCAGUAAGGCUUGCUCAGACUUUUAUUGAAAAACAGCAAGGCUUUAGCUCUCAGAAGGCAGAAAUGUGCGAUGGCGUAGGACAAAAGCACAUUGCCAGCUCACAGCAUGAAAAUCCUGAGCCAGGAAUUAAGGAAGUAGAAUUUCCCAGCGAUAGCCGGGAAUCAAAACCAAUGAAAAUGACUAAAGGAGAUUCAGGAUAUUCCGAGAGCCAAGGAUUUAAAGUCAGAAAGAUAGAAAUAAUUUAGUCCUUAUUUCAGAUGUGAGAAAGUGGAGAUUGACAAGGUUAAAUGUUUUACAAACAGUCAUGUAGCUAGUAUCCUGGUGUGAAUAUUUUGGGUGAAGGUGAGGGUGGCAGGAACCGACAAUUUCUAUUAAAAAGAAUAGGUUUCCUCCAGAAUGUCCACUGUGAUAUCAGGUUCAACUUCUGGCUUUCUACCUUUUCUCUCGUUCUCAGACCAUGUAAGUUCUGUGUUGGUUGUUGAAAUAGAUUGCUCUAAUUUCAAUUCCUAAUACAAAAGGGAGUUUCUUUAGUUGAACAUGAAGAUCCAAACCAGUAAUUUCAAGACAUAGGGCUCAAGUCAAGAUGCCGUUUCCAGUCAUCUGCCAACUACUUUGGGUUUUUCUUAGAUUUGUCCUAAAGUGAAAUUCUAUUUCCCUGGAAAGUGACAGAAUGAAGGAAUCUUACCACUUUGUAGAUCCCUAAGUGGUUGAUGGCAAACAGAUCUCAAUCCUUGCUGACUGUGAAAACGUUAAUUUUUGUCUUUCAAUUUUAUGGGUUUUAUGAAUCUUUAGAUAUUUCAUUGGCUUAUUUGAAAGCUCCCUUGCUUGUGGGCUGAUUAGACAGGCAGCAAGAAUC